rnacentral:tRNA from 1 species
AUUUAUAUAAUAUAAAAAUUAUAUUUAACUUCCAAUUAAAAAAUCUAACUAAAGUUAGUAUAAAUA